CAAGGUUUUAUAUUUCAGAGUAAUAUGCAACUGAAAAUUCAAUUCUCAUAAGCCACAUUUCAAAUAACAGGGCAGUUACAUACUUUGCCAUUUAAACAUAGAUCAUGUUCAAAAUACAAUUUCAUUUCCUCUUACCAAACUCAUCUCUUUACUCAAUCUCUUUCUAAUUCUUCCCUGCUACUGGUAACAGAAUGACACACAAGCCAACACACAUACUAAUGGCAAGUACCAAAAUCCUAUGUAUGCACAUCAUUUGCUCCUUAUUAAUCCUAGCAAUGACCUUCUUCUCCCUAUCACAGUGCUUCUCAGCCUCCUUCUUCUCAAGUUCUUCCUGCAACAGCUUGUUCUUCAUAGCCAGAUCACAAAUGAUUGUCUUUGCCCGGCCAUCCCAUCUUGGAUCUAUCCACUUCACAUAUUCGCAAGCCCUGAAAUCCUGAAGAUGUAAAAAAGUACUCAGUGUGAAAGACAUGAACCUUACAUUUGCUCGAAGCCAAAUCAUACAAGCCUCUGAAAUGUACCUCAUAUUGGCAACCCAGCAACCUUCAGCCAUAGUCCAUGCCUUCAUUUGCAACACGGCGAGCAGGGGAGCAGGGGGGAACAUGGCGAGCAGAAAGAAGAGGCCUCCAGAAAGAAUGGGGAUCAUCACCUGACCGCUACUUUGCUUCCACUCCUCCUUGAUGUGGUUCUGACCACCAGCGCCGGCCAUCUCACUGAGCAUCAGAGGACAAGGGAGAGCAGAGAAAUAACACCGAUGGCCUCGCCGCCUACUCUCGGUCAACAGCUCGCCGCCGGCGACAAAUCAACUACAUCCGCCGCCACCGGUGACAAAUCAACUACAUCCUCCCCGCCGCCGCCUGCAUAGGGUUAGGGAUUUGGUUUCGUGUUUUCUGAAUCGAGGGCGGGUGGUUUGGGUAUGGACGGUUAUACAGAUCAAGG
rnacentral:lncRNA from 1 species